GAAGUGUGGACGCCAGUCUGCAUGGAGCCGACCUUGAAAUACCACCCUUUAAUGUUUGAUGUUCUAACGUUGGCCCCUGAUCGGGGUUGCGGACAGUGUCUGGUGGGUAGUUUGACUGGGGCGGUCUCCUCCUAAAGAGUAACGGAGGAGCACGAAGGUUGGCUAAUCCUGGUCGGACAUCAGGAGGUUAGUGCAAUGGCAUAAGCCAGCUUGACUGCGAGCGUGACGGCGCGAGCAGGUGCGAAAGCAGGUCAUAGUGAUCCGGUGGUUCUGAAUGGAAGGGCCAUCGCUCAACGGAUAAAAGGUACUCCGGGGAUAACAGGCUGAUACCGCCCAAGAGUUCAUAUCGACGGCGGUGUUUGGCACCUCGAUGUCGGCUCAUCACAUCCUGGGGCUGAAGUAGGUCCCAAGGGUAUGGCUGUUCGCCAUUUAAAGUGGUACGCGAGCUGGGUUUAGAACGUCGUGAGACAGUUCGGUCCCUAUCUGCCGUGGGCGCUGGAGAACUGAGGGGGGCUGCUCCUAGUACGAGAGGACCGGAGUGGACGCAUCACUGGUGUUCGGGUUGUCAUGCCAAUGGCACUGCCCGGUAGCUAAAUGCGGAAGAGAUAAGUGCUGAAAGCAUCUAAGCACGAAACUUGCCCCGAGAUGAGUUCUCCCUGACUCCUUGAGAGUCCUGAAGGAACGUUGAAGACGACGACGUUGAUAGGCCGGGUGUGUAAGCGCAGCGAUGCGUUGAGCUAACCGGUACUAAUGAACCGUGAGGCUUAACCUU
rnacentral:rRNA from 1 species